GGAAGGUUGUCCGAGCUGGCCGAAGGAGCACGCCUGGAAAGUGUGUAGGCGUCACAAGCGUUUCAAGGGUUCGAAUCCCUUACCUUCCG
rnacentral:tRNA from 1 species